rnacentral:rRNA from 1 species
UGGGGAAUAUUGCACAAUGGGGGAAACCCUGAUGCAGCAACGCCGCGUGAGUGAUGAAGGCCUUCGGGUUGUAAAGCUCUGUCUUUGGGGACGAUUAUGACGGUACCCAAGGAGGAAGCCACGGCUAACUACGUGCCAGCAGCCGCGGUAAUACGUAGGUGGCAAGCGUUGUCCGGAUUUACUGGGCGUAAAGGAUGCGUAGGCGGAUGUUUAAGUGAGAUGUGAAAUACCCGGGCUCAACUUGGGUGCUGCAUUUCAAACUGGAUAUCUAGAGUGCAGGAGAGGAAAGUGGAAUUCCUAGUGUAGCGGUGAAAUGCGUAGAGAUUAGGAAGAACAUCAGUGGCGAAGGCGACUUUCUGGACUGUAACUGACGCUGAGGCAUGAAAGCGUGGGGAGCAAACA